CCCCUCUUUUCCAUGCCUAUGAGGGAUGCCGCUUCUGAAACUGUUUUCGAUCUCUUUCAGAAAUCAAAAUGGAGAGUGAAGAGAGUGAGAGAUUGGAGAAAGAACAAAAAUCUUGGUGCCUGAAGUAAGAAGUCCGGCAUUGUUCACAAUCCAAAAACAUCCUCAGAUGACCAGAGAACUACACUUGAUUAAAGAACAAAAUUCUGAAUGGUGUCCAUAUCUCAUCCCCUUUCCUUUCCAAGCUUUUGGGCAACCUCUCUGAUUUCCUAGAAGACAAGAUAAUGUAAUUAUUAGGGUAGGUGGUGCUCUACGACUCCCUCUAGGUAAAACAGUUCCUUACCCUGCCAGCUCUGUUCCCUACGCAGGAGCAGACACUAAUUCUCUGUCUGCUUUGUCUGACUCAGUUCACACUCAGGUCUAGGGCACUGAAAUGGCUCCUUGAUGGGAAAUAAUAUUUUGGAUCAACCUCUCCUACUUUAGAUCGGAUCCCUCUCCUAAUUUGUCAUAGUGUGUUUUUAUAUGGAACUCCUUGUUGUAGGAAUACUGGCUUUUUUAUCUGUCUUGAAUUCUAAAGUGAUGGCUCACUCCAUCCUGUAUCCUUGGGCCUGAACAACUACCUCUUCAGUCGGGAUGGGAGUGGUGUAUUUGAUGAUGUUGUCUGAUGUGGUCAUGAUAAUAUCUUAAAAUAGAAAAGAGCAUAUACUAUAGUAGCAUGAUUACUAUGCUCUAGAGAAAGGCCCGCCACUUAUAAGGAACACUUGCCCCUCUGUCCAGAUCAGUAACAAAUACGAUGACCAAAGUAAUGCACAGGUAACAGUUAGCACCGAAUUCUCAAUGCUGGGAGAUGGAGAAACACAGUGAUGGAACCAUCCCUGGAUCCAGGAGCCACUUCUAUCUGGGCUGAUGCUGAUGUUGGGAGAAUCCACCUAAUCAGCCAGCAAUUAACAAGCUUUUGCAGGCAGCACUGAAGAAAGCAAGACAUCCUAGAAGCCCUGAGGCCUAUUUCUCCUCUUGAGAAAAAUGGGAUGCUGGCGAUGGUCUGCGGACAGCUGUACAAGGAUAAAACAGUAAAACACUCAAAACAAGGGGCAAUCAAUAGAGUCCAACCAACAAUUCUCAGAGAAGGAUUGACUGAUCUCCCAAUCCUUGGCCAAGUCAAGAAGCCAGAGAUGGAUAUUAUGUCCCAAUGGAUGUAGACAGCAAUUGUCUUGGUGGUCAACAGGUGUCUUGAUCCCCAUGUUUCAUCCAGCUGGACACAGAGCUCAGGAGAAGAGCAGUCGCUAUGACGACAUGAGGGAAGAAGUCUAGGACUCUUUCAGCUCAUGGGUUAGUGGAAUUAGGAAAAGCAGAAAAUACAACACUCCGAGGCUACCUUAGUCUGCAGAUAUCCCAGCGGUCAUGGAUUGGCCCUUCAAAGGAGGACUUUGGGAAGACCGAGCAGCAAAAAUCGCUCUUUAUAAUCUACAUAAGGGCCCUGGAGGGUUGUAGACUGUUCUGCUAGUAAGGCUCAGGCUGUAAUGUUUCCAUUCAUACAUCUCGCCCCUGCCUGUGCAGACUGUUAGGAUUUGGCUGGUUACUAACAUGUUCUGUACAGAGUAGAUUCCAAUAAAGUUUUCUUGCAUUUA